rnacentral:lncRNA from 1 species
GGAUUAAACGAAGAAGAUGAUGUCUACCUUACAUAUGAAAUCUUCAAAUGUUGUUUAGUUUUAAUUGUCAACCCUGAUAUUCAUUAGAUAAAUACAUAUUUGUAUUAAUUCGGACUAUCGAAACUGUUAGUUGACAAUAACUUCAAUUAAUUCAGUAUUGAUUCUCAUGUAGACUUGAAGUUUGAGAUAGAGUAAAUGUCGACUGAAAGUGAAAUUUGAAAAUAUGAACCUAUGUGUACCUUGUUAUAAAAGUGAGUAGCACCUGGUGUUAAGAAUAUUAAAUCGUUUAUUUCCAAUUCCAGGUACUUUUCUUAUAGACUCAAGUGAAGUGGAAAUUCGAGUCCACAUGUAUGAGCAAUGAUUGGAUUAAACGAAGAAGAUGAUGUCUACCUUACAUAUGAAAUCUUCAAAUGUUGUUUAGUUUUAAUUGUCAACCCUGAUAUUCAUUAGAUAAAUACAUAUUUGUAUUAAUUCGGACUAUCGAAACUGUUAGUUGACAAUAACUUCAAUUAAUUCAGUAUUGAUUCUCAUGUAGACUUGAAGUUUGAGAUAGAGUAAAUGUCGACUGAAAGUGAAAUUUGAAAAUAUGAACCUAUGUGUACCUUGUUAUAAAAGUGAGUAGCACCUGGUGUUAAGAAUAUUAAAUCCGAGUGAAAAUAAAAUAAUAGUUCGGUUUAUGGAGUAAAAUAAGCCAGUUCUGAUUCAAUAAGGCCUUCGCUAAUCUAAUGUGUAGGUUGUUCCAUUUAUGGUUGAGUAUGUGAAUUCUUUAGAUGUUUUGAAAAAAAAAUCAUUUAUCCUGACUAGAUUAAAACCAAAGGAUUUGGAACUUAGUUGGAAAUAGAAUGGUAGUAUGUUGCUUAUGAAUUUUAUUGUUGAAAACAAGACUGAUGGCUGCUCAGGCUGGUUAGUAGGCUAAACUCGAAUUGGUUUGGGCCCUUUAAUUGACAUGUGAUUUAGUCCUGAUCCAGGACUGCCUCCUCUUUUGGGCUUG